rnacentral:rRNA from 1 species
AACGAACGCUGGCGGCAUGCCUAACACAUGCAAGUCGAACGAGACCUUCGGGUCUAGUGGCGCACGGGUGCGUAACGCGUUGGAACCUGCCCUUAGGUUCGGAAUAACUCCCCGAAAGGGGUGCUAAUACCGGAUAAUGUCUUCGGACCAAAGAUUUAUCGCCUUUGGAUGGGCCCGCGUUGGAUUAGCUAGUUGGUAGGAUAAAAGCCUACCAAGGCGACGAUCCAUAGCUGGUCUGAGAGGAUGAUCAGCCACACUGGGACUGAGACACGGCCCAGACUCCUACGGGAGGCAGCAGUGGGGAAUAUUGGACAAUGGGCGAAAGCCUGAUCCAGCAAUGCCGCGUGAGUGAUGAAGGCCUUAGGGUUGUAAAGCUCUUUUACCCGGGAUGAUAAUGACAGUACCGGGAGAAUAAGCUCCGGCUAACUCCGUG